rnacentral:lncRNA from 1 species
AGUUUAUGUGUGUUCAUUGUCAGUAAAUGGAAAUAAAAUUGAAUUUUUGUGUUAACCUUGUAUCUUGUAAGCUUGCUAGCUUCAUCCAUAAAUCCUUGGAGGUCUUAAAAGCGUUUUAAUUUAUUGUUAAAGCAUGGGUGUAGGUGUGGGCAUAUGCACUACUGUGUGUAUAUGGGUUUUAAAACAUUGUAGAGUUGGUUCUCUGGUUCUUUAUGAGGAGUCCGGGAAUCAAGCUCAGGAUAUAAGGCUGGAGUUCUCUUACCCACUGAGUCAGGUUGCUGGUCCUGUUUUGUUUUCUACCAUGGUCUCUUUAUGUAAUUGUAUCUGGCCUGGAAUUUACUAUGUAGCCCAGGCUGGCCUCUAUCCAGAUCCUCCUUUGUGGUGCUGUAGUUGCAGAUGGCCACCACCACUGGAGAGACUUCCUGUAUCUGAUUUUCUAUGUAACUGUAUCCUUUGCACAAUAAAAAAAAUUGUUUGUUUC